rnacentral:tRNA from 1 species
ACAGAGCCUUAGUAGUAUAAUUAAUACACUGGUCUU